AGGGGGGAUGGGUGCACUGACUGAAUCCCAACCGGAAGUGAAUACCAGCCUUUUCCUGGAUCCGCCGACCCCUGACCCCAUCAUGAAUCAGAUGCCAGCUUUCCCUGCAUUGAGGGAGAUAGACAUCUCCAGCAUCCAGGCCCCAGAGCCCAGGAGCAGAGAGGAGUUCCUGCAGUAUGCCUGUACCCUGACCCUAGACACGAGGAAG